CACAGCUUGGCUUGAUUGUAACCUUAAAAGUGGUGAUAAAGGCAGCCUUGUCUUUCACCUGCUUUUUUAAAUGUGAUCACUCUCGUAGUGGACUGAGCAUGGAACUCUAAUUAGAUAAUAUCUGAUCAUAUCCUUGGAACCUGAUAAUAGUUCUGUCCUUGGUCUUGACAUUGGUAGGGAAUUUUAUAGCUGUAGGCUCAAUGG
rnacentral:lncRNA from 1 species